UCAUUAGAUGUCUCAUGUUCGUGGGUUUCUUUUUACCGAACACCGUUCGACUCCCGUUCGAAUAGCCGAAAAUCCAUGGAAGGUAAAGUUUAGUGGUGUUCACGCCGUUGAUUGUCCCAUUUGAGUUCCAUGCACUCAACGACCAAACACCACUCAUUGUACUCGCAGCUUAAGAUGGCAGACACCACGUGGUUGAAUGGCACUUCGAAUGGCUUCGGGAGUUCGGGAGGUCAAAGUGCCACUUUGAAAGUUCGAACAGUUCCUAUUACCAGUCCCAACAGGCACAAAUAGUGUUUAACACAAACUUUACAAAUCCAGGGACAGAGGGUUUGUCGCAUGUACUAAUUCUAAUCCAAUUAUCUCCAAGCACAGAAAAAAAU